rnacentral:tRNA from 1 species
CGGGGAAUGGUUCAGCUGGCAGAACACAGGCCUUGCAAGCCUGGGGCUGCUGGUUCAAGCCCUUGCACUGA